GACGAACGCUGGCGGCGUGCUUAACACAUGCAAGUCGAGCGGUAAGGCCUCUUCGGGGGUACACGAGCGGCGAACGGGUGAGUAACACGUGAGCAACCUACCCUUCACUUCGGGAUAAGCCUCGGAAACGGGGUCUAAUACCGGAUAUCACUCCUUACUUCAUGGUUUGGGGUUGAAAGUUCUGGCGGUGGGGGAUGGGCUCGCGGCCUAUCAGCUUGUUGGUGGGGUAAUGGCCUACCAAGGCGUCGACGGGUAGCCGGCCUGAGAGGGCGACCGGCCACACUGGGACUGAGACACGGCCCAGACUCCUACGGGAGGCAGCAGUGGGAAUAUUGCGCAAUGGACGGAAGUCUGACGCAGCAACGCCGCGUGAGGGAUGACGGCC
rnacentral:rRNA from 1 species